GUGAACUGGGGAAGCCCUCUAGAACAACCCAGCCAGAGGAGAGGAGGAUUGCCAAAAGUAUAUCUUGAAGCAGCAGCAGGAGGAGGCUGAGAAGCCUUUACAGGUGGCCGCUGUAGACAGCAGUGUCCCACGGACAGCAGAGCUGGCGGGCAUCACCACACUUGACGACCCGCUGGGGCAUAUGCCUGAGCGUUUUGAUGCCUUCAUCUGCUAUUGCCCCAGCGACAUCCAGUUUGUGCAGGAGAUGAUCCGGCAACUGGAACAGACAAACUAUCGACUGAAGUUGUGUGUGUCUGACCGCGAUGUCCUGCCUGGCACCUGUGUCUGGUCCAUUGCUAGUGAGCUCAUCGAAAAGAGGUGCCGCCGGAUGGUGGUGGUUGUCUCUGAUGAUUACCUGCAGAGCAAGGAAUGUGACUUCCAGACCAAAUUUGCACUCAGCCUCUCUCCAGGUGCCCAUCAGAAGCGACUGAUCCCCAUCAAGUACAAGGCAAUGAAGAAAGAGUUCCCCAGCAUCCUGAGGUUCAUCACUGUCUGCGACUACACCAACCCCUGCACCAAAUCUUGGUUCUGGACUCGCCUCGCC
rnacentral:sRNA from 1 species